rnacentral:rRNA from 1 species
GACGAACGCUGGCGGCGUGCCUAAUACAUGCAAGUAGAACGCUGAAGGAGGAGCUUGCUUCUCUGGAUGAGUUGCGAACGGGUGAGUAACGCGUAGGUAACCUGCCUGGUAGCGGGGGAUAACUAUUGGAAACGAUAGCUAAUACCGCAUAAUAGUAGAUGUCGCAUGACAUUUGCUUAAAAGGUGCAAUUGCAUCACUACCAGAUGGACCUGCGUUGUAUUAGCUAGUUGGUGAGGUAACGGCUCACCAAGGCAACGAUACAUAGCCGACCUGAGAGGGUGAGCGGCCACACUGGGACUGAGACACGGCCCAGACUCCUACGGGAGGCAGCAGUAGGGAAUCUUCGGCAAUGGACGGAAGUCUGACCGAGCAACGCCGCGUGAGUGAAGAAGGUUUUCGGAUCGUAAAGAUCUGUUGUAAGAGAAGAACGAGUGUGAGAGUGGAAAGUUCACACUGUGACGGUAUCUUACCAGAAAGGGACGGCUAACUACGUG